CCGGCGCCAGCUGCGGCGAUUCUCUGAGCCGCCUACGCCCUCUACGCAGCGCAGUCCCCGCCCCCUUGUGGCGGCCGUACGAGCAAGGGAGAAGGUUGUGGCGGGAAUGUCAAGAGCCUCCAGAGUGUUCAGCUGUAAACCAAGUAACCUAAAUGUGCGGGCAUUCAGUGCUUUACGUGCAUAGCUCCUACCCUCUAACUAGCUGUGGAGCAGGUAUGUCUGCACCUGAUUCUCACCCUGACCCGGACCUGCUGGCUUGGCUUCCUGGCUCGGCCACGAACCGGCCUCAUCACUACGGACUUGCUGGAUCAUCACUGGACUGUGUCUGACUGUGAUCAGUGUUUCUGGACCUGAUCCUGACCCUGACUUGCCACUCUACAUCCUGGCUCCUUGUCCUUGAGGUGACUGCUCUACCUGCCUUGUUUUUGCACUUGGCUCCCGGCUCACCUUCCCUUGGGGAGCAGACAGCCCUCGCUGCUUCCUAACACAGACACACAAACACAGACCCCUGUUACAUAGUUCCUUCGUAAUUUAUAAAUAACCUAUGCUUUUGUGUGGGAAAAGUUGAAGAAAAGCAGUGAUGAUGGAGCAGUUAGGUUAGGGCACCUGGUUGUACAAUAGUGAGUGAAAUAAAAGAGAGAAAAAUUCUAAACAGUCUGUACCUAACAUCUCUUUGAAUCUCACAUAGGUUUGUUUGCAAAUUCACAUUGCUUGUCUCCGUUCCAUGUUCAUCCUAAUGAUAAACCCUUUAGGGUGUAGAUUGCAUCUUUCCUUUGUGUUUGUAUAGGUUCUUGCACACUGGGAAGCAGAUGUAGUGCAAAUAUUUUUAUAAUUAUGUUCUCCAAUUUUUGACUAUUUUUCUUAGUUUGUACAUGUAACAGGCCAACAAGCCACUAGAUGGCAAACAAUUUCAGUGAGAAACACAUGUAUUUGCACAAUCUUCUAUCCCCAGCUGUGUCAGUGAGACCAUGGGGUGUAAUCCUAUGACGGUUUAUAGGAAUCUAGGGUGAAGCUGAUAUGGUCCUCCUUCAGCACAGUUCCCCAGGCACUCUCUCGCUUUUGCUAGGCUAGUAUUCAUGCAGCUAUGUAGCUAGCUGUGGAGUGGAUUGAUGGAGGUGAUCUAUGCAAAAACUAACCUAGCAAAAAAAAAAAAAAAAAAAAAAAAAAAAAAAAAAGAAGAAGAAAGCAAGCAGUUUCCAGCCAUGUUAGUUCCAUCAGCCAGCUCACUGGCCCAUUACACAAACAAUAAAAUGUAUUCAGGGAGAGCAGCAGACCCCGUUUAGAUUGUUUUAUGCUGUCAAGUCACACUAUCAUAUAUUAUUCUUCUACCUAUCAUAAAAUUCCAGGGUUCACGGUGAUAAAAGCUUUAUGAGUGUAUAUAAAUUAUCAGUCAGAUAAUCUCUACAAGUUAUUAAAAAUGACCUCUGUGACUCCUGGGUUCGUAUCUACAAGAGACAUGUCAUGAAUGUGUAUUUCCAAAAUCUGAAUCUAACUUUUAAAAAGAAAUUUUAAAAAUAACAAAACCACAAAGUAAUCAGACUUCUAUGUAUGAUGAGCUGCUUCUUGGACAUUAUCAAAGUUCUGUAUGAACAUGGACUUUCUUGGAAGCAAGACUGAGUGAAAUUACUCAGUUGAAAUACUCAGGGGGAUCCAGAGAAAGGAAAACAUCCAUACUCCAUGAGGGGCUUUCCUUUUGUGAUUGUCUCCUCUUAGCCUGUGUGGGAGCAGAGCCAUCUCAUCCAAGGCCUCUGGUCUAGAGUGCUCUGUGAUACUUUAGGAUUACUCCUCUGAUUUGUGGCAUGACUGUUUCAGUUCAGUCCUCUGGCUAUAGUUGCUCUUUGAUUACAAGAGCUUUGUUCAGUGCAACUAAGCCGUCACAAGAAAGACAGGAGAGCAGAGGGCCACAUUAUUUCAUCUUCGCAAUCUCAUGUGUUUGGGGACAGGAGUGGUCAUGUGAGCUACUGAUACAGUAUAUUUUCUGAAUGCUUGUUUCUCAAAACUAUGGCUUUCCCUCAACCUGCUUAUUCUAAUUUUGAGACCACAUAAAUGACCAAGUUCUUUCUUUACACCUGGCCCUGGCCGUUCAGUACCUGAGAAAUUGAUCUAAUUUUAAGCAAUCAAACUUACCAUCUGCGGUCAAAAAAAAUGUAGUCGUUGACCAUAGAAAUCUCCAAUCAGUCAACAAUUGGCAGGGAUUCAGCUUGUAACUUAGUGGACACAGGCCGGGUGCUUUAUUUUCCACCUUUGGCCCAGGAGCAUAGGACUUUGGAGCAGUGAGGUCUGAAGUAAGCUGUGCUUGAAACAAGGCAGAAAUAUAACAGAGUCCUCAUUUACCAGUGAGGUGUUAAUGGAUAGAAAAAUGUGCAUGAGAAGGUUGUUUUUAUUUUGAGAAUUAAAGUAGUUUGUAAGCCUUUCUGUAAAAGGUAGGUAAUUUGAGUACCAUCAAAAUCUGUAUACAGGCUAAGCAAUUUUGCUGUUAAAGUGAUUUGGGAACUUCAGGCUGUUUGUCAGUGAAGAUCUGAUAACUGCAGUGCAGCAGGGCAGGAGAGUGUUUUGUCUGUAAUUGCUUUGUCUUUGCUGAUUUCCCUAUAGCACCUGAAAGAUGGUGGUAAACACAGAAAUAUUUAGACUUUUGUCAUGCAAAGAGGUGGAGCUCUGAGAAUAAGCCAGAGAGCAGUAUUAUCCACUCAGAGAAGAAACCUGAGGAGGUGGGUCUGUCUUCUGACAGGAAGGUCAAUUAUUGCUGUGGGAUUCUGCUAAACUGUUAAUAAUUCAUUGCUUCAAAGCUCUGAUUCUGUCAUAUAUACAAGACUGCAAAAUCUUUGUGAGAAUUUUGAUCUCUGAGCAGGGGAUUUUAAAGUUAGUUGUCUUAAAAUCUUGAUAAUUUUAAAAUAGGAAAAAUAUGUAAGUUUGUUGCUGGAAAACUUUUCUUACUCUUUUGAAUUCCUAAAGUUUUUCCAUUUCUUGUUAUUCAUAACAUUUCAUAGCAACAGCUCCUUCCUGUGAUAAGUUGGAAAACUGUGGUAGACGGUUUAACGUGGAAUUUUUAAAACAAAGCACAAUUUGCCAUCAUAAAAUUACAGCCAUAUUUCUAUCACAAAAAUAUGUCUCCUUUAGUAGAGGAUCUUUAAGUAAGUUCAAGAUACAACUGGACAAGUUAGUGAAAGAGAAAUCCAUUGCAAGCUAUUAAAUACACAAACACCAUGUCUAACUCAUAUCUGAAAUCCUUGAUCUGCAAGUCGUUGGAAGGUGGCAAGGUAUUUUGAGAAAGCAUAUGCUUGCUCCAUUCCUACAUUCUUUCUCAGGUGUCCACUUUCACGGUUGUUGGAGACAAAAUACUGGACUUGAGGAACUUUUGGUCUAACACAAAAUGGACAUUUAUUUGGUCUAACACCUUCCUAAUUUUCAUGCAUACAAUGACACCCUGAAGUGACAGCAGUGGAGCUCUUGCUGGAGGACAGGACUUGAGAACUUUGAGGACCAAAAUCUAACACACCUUCCCUAAUUAAUUUUGGCUGGGACCAUCUGUUUCAUUACUACCAGUGUCACAACUCUUGAUCAAGACAUUAAUUAGAGGCUCUAAUUAAACAGGAAAGUCAUUUUCAGACUGCACAAGAUUCAUGUUGAGAAUGAAUUAGAGCCCCGUGCUCAUUCCUGUUACCUAUUGGUGCCCUUAUGAAUUAUCAAUAAUACAUUUUUAUUCUCUUCCCAGGUGUCUUUACAGUCCUCUCAUAAAAAUAUAUGCAGCAAAGAGUAAGAAAAAUCUCUACAUUAAGCAAGGAGGUUGAUUGCGGUAGAUGCUGCAAGUCUUGCCACCGUGUCAAUAGCAAGCAGAGGGAGUGGUGCAUGAGGUUCUGUAUGCUGUUCUUCACUGACCUUUGAAAAAUACAUCCUCACAUAGCCGUCUAGGAAGGAAUGCAUUUAUUUUUAAUGAUAACCUAUUAGUUUGUAAUAAGAAGCAGCUCAGUAACAGAUGAGAAAGAUAUUAGUAUAAAAUGCUUAGAGAAAGUCCAAUGUACAAAAGUAGUGUGUCAAGGCUUUUUAGGAGGUUUGUGCAUCCACCAGGAGGCACAGCAAGUUAGGGCUUUAUUUUGCUCACAGCACUGAACACACCACACUUACUAGUAAUGAAGGGAUGCAAAAGUUUUCAUCUAAUUUUUAAAUCCAAAAGUAGGAAAUGGAGAGAUAUCUAAUGACUACAGAGAAUAAAAAUGGGAAUGGGGAGGACUCUUGACAAACUGAAGUAAUAAAACGUGUAUUUGUGAAAAAUGUUUUCUGGUCAAAAACUAUAAACAAGUUUUGUUGCUGUUGUUCACAGUCAUUGGAAGUCAUAACUGGUAUGACUGAAAAUAAAAAUGCUAAUCCAUGUAGAAAGCAACACAAGGGUUCUGCUUCCUAAGAUCUACAUAAGCCUUUCUAAAUUAAAUACAUCCAUAACUAUGGGUUAGGAUGUGCUUGUGGAAAAGGGCAAAGGUUUAAUGCUGCCAAUAUUUAUGCAUGUGAAUGAUCUUAUCUAUUAUAUGUUAGUAGUAUAAAAGAAAUUACAAAAACAGCCAUCGGCUUAUCAGUAAGUACCUGCACGUUUGGGACUGCAUGGGAGUACAGCUUUUAAUAAGCUUGUCAGUUAUGCUUUUCCUCUAACAAUGUAACUGAAAUGAGAAACAAUGAUCCUUCUCUCUGACACCCUAGGACCAUGUAUAUCGUAUCUGGAAUGUGAACAGUGGUGUUUUCAAUGCUGCUAACUUUUGUAACUUUUAAAGUAUUUUAAUCAAAGCCUUCUUUCCCCGAUUUAAAAAUCAGACGAUCAGCUAAGAAUCUAAAAUGUAAAAACAAGUGAGAAGCUCUGUUCCCCAUGUUUGCAGAGAAAUCUGAAGGAAGUAAAAAGAAUCCCAAACUACUACUAAAAUCUCAUGUUUUUCUUUUAAUGCCAGUCUCAUGACUUUCUGGGAAUUGAUUUUUGAAAGCCUGGGUUUGGCAGUUCUGUGCUUGGCUCAUUUGGGCUUUACCCAAGUCCCUUUUUUUCUUGGCAGCACUUAAAACAACUGAGUGAGAUGUAGCCUAUGCUCCUUCAUAAUCCCACAUUGCCCUGUGCAGUCAAGAGCCUUUCAGCACAGGAAAUGAACAAAGUAACCGAAGGCCUUAAGGACCAGUGGGCGGUGCAGGCUGCUGGGGGCCAAGGAGAGGAGCCAAAGAGCCUGCUCUGCUCCCAAGGACUAGUUUUUUUGUGGAUUUAGUGCAUCUGACAGUGCCCUGUGACUGGUGUUGAAGUUCUGUUUCAUUUUAAAUUGCACUGGUUUAGCUGGCAAUAAUUUAACUGCUGGAAACUCAGUUUCUUGGAGAGAACUCAUCUGAUAUUUCUAGUUCUUUCAUAUUUACAUGAGCUGCUGCUGUUCACCAAGCAGACACACUGUGUGAUCAUCUCCUGCAGCAGGUCACGUCCUGCUGAAACACCGCAGCAGCAGCAGCAGCAGCAGACAUUUUUGUGACUGCUCAGCAAUCUCAGCAGUAAAGAGGCAGUAAAACAAUGCUCCCAAUGUAUUGCACUGGCUUUGCUGGUCAGCUCUUAUUUCAAGGCAGAACACUGUGUUGGUGUAUACAUAUCAUAUAGUAGGUUUCCCUUGCAUUGCUCAUAGGACUCUUUGCCAAACUACUGGCACAACAUUGAAGUUAGUGAGCCACAGCAGUACCAUUGUGGUUACAAACUGCUGAGGCAGCACUCUAGCCUAUUACUUUUUUUAUAUGCUUCUGUUUUUUGUAGAGAGUACCGGUAACAGAAUCAUGUAACAUUCAAAUCCUAAAACAGGCCAAAUUUGUUGUUUUAAACUGGCACAGCUGUGAUGUUAGUGACUGAUUCCUGCCACGUUACACCAGCACAGAACUUGGUUAACCAUCACUAUGCAGAGGCCUUGUACAAGCACAGAUAAAUUAAUGUAUAGCUCCAGUGUUUAUGCCAUAUGCAAUGAAGUCUCAUACUUCUUUCAGUAGCCCCCUUAAAAACAAAUGUCUUUUAAAGUUUUUUUGUAAAGUCCUGGUGAUCUCACUGACUUGACUGCAGUUGAGAUUUCAGCAUUGGUGUUUGUUUCGCUUGAUAGCUUUUAUGCAUAGACUGCUGUCUUACUAAGAUGAAAGAGA